GGCACUAUGGUUUAGCUGGCUAAAGUGCCUGUCUCAUAAACAGGAGAUCCUGGCUUCAGCUCUCAAUGGUGCCU
rnacentral:tRNA from 1 species